CAUAUACUCCCUCCGUCCCAAAAAGCUUGUCGCUCAAAUGGAUGGAUAUAUCUAGCACUAAGUUUGUCGCUCAAAUGGAUGGAUAUAUCCAUCCAUUUGAGCGACAAGCUUUUCGGGACGGAGGGAGUAUAUG
rfam:Triticum aestivum genome assembly, contig: Triticum_aestivum_CS42_TGACv1_scaffold_423257_5BS